rnacentral:ncRNA from 1 species
GAAAGCCGUAUGCGAGGAAACCCGCAUGUACGGUUUGGAGGAGGGGAAAAGACGGAGAUAAUAUCAAACUCUUACCUAUUCCUAU